rnacentral:misc_RNA from 1 species
UCUCCGUAGGUGAACCUGCGGAGGGAUCAUUACUGAGUGAGGGCUCACGCCCGACCUCCAACCCUUUUGUGAACCACCUCGUUGCUUCGGGGGCGACCCUGCCGUUCGCGGCGUGGGGCCCCCGGAGGUCUCCAAACACUGCAUCUCUGCGUCGGAGUUUAAAACAAAUUAAACAAAACUUUCAACAACGGAUCUCUUGGUUCUGGCAUCGAUGAAGAACGCAGC